UGUGAGGUCUAUCCCGACUGACCUUUACCUGUAGGGUCGUGUCGUUGGAAAUGCCUCGCAGAGUAAACCUGUGGUCUCGCUUUACCCACGUGUUCACCUCCAUGAGCAUGCUGGGAUAUUACUGCAGAACAAGA
ensembl:snoRNA small nucleolar RNA SNORA18